rnacentral:lncRNA from 1 species
GGUUGCCUUGGCGCUGGGGACUGCCUCCCGUCUUUUGCGGAAGGAGGGAACUUUUAAAGAGACAGUUGUUUCAAUCUUAAUGCAGAAAUAAAACAAAAUGCAGAGAAAAAUUGAUUUUAUGUUCAAGAGAAAGUGAGAUACAGCAGAUGAUGAUACUGUGGCAUCAGAGUCAGCUCCUUGUUAAACUUGGGUGUGCUCCUCGUGUACAAAGUCUGUGGGUACAGUACCCGCAAGAACCUUAUCCUACUUUCACCCAUGAUAAAGAGCAAAUAAACUUGCGGCCACAUUAGUGCUUGGGAGUUUGUUUGUCUCUUAUGAAGUGCGGUCAGGCAAAGACCACACCUUACUGGUCUAGAGUCUGAAUCCCAUGACCCAGAUUGUAACAUGCAUUGAUGAGGUCUUCGGAUGGCAUGAGGGUUCUCUUUAUUCUAUAUACCUACAUAUAGAGACUUGUAAGGAAAAUUUUCUUUCUGAUACAGUGAAAUAAGUGAUUAUUGGAGCCACAACAAGAUACAUCUCUUAUUCCUAGCUCCUCGCACACCUGCUUUACUUAAACCUUCCACCGGCCAAAUACUCAAGACUGAGAGGGACUAGGGUCAAGCCAUCAACUAGCUUUGAAUCAUGUGUGCUCUCAAAUACAUACAGAAACACACAGAGGCAUACUCACACACAGCCAAAGGAUGUUUACCUUAUAAUCCUUAUAACUAAAAACAAAUGCCACUGACCAUCAUGCCCACAAUAGACACUAAACUAUAUAUAUGGGCACACAGUAAAAAAUAGAGCAAUUUGAUACAAAAGCUAAAUUAAGGGAAUGGAAAUUAAACUGAGUGGAACUGAGAGGAAGGGUAGAUAGUCAAACUUAUUUGCAUUUCUGAAUUUCAUUUUGCAUCCUGAAAUGAAAGCAGAUUUGUGUGGACUCUGAGAGGUUACUGGAAAACAGAGAAAGAAGAAGUGACUGUUCUUCAUCAAUUUGAUAUUAAACUGAUCACUGAGUAAUUUCUACCGAAUUGCUAAAUGGAUAACAAACUCAACCUGAGUGAGAGUGAUAUUUGAAUGAAUUGAGUGCAAAACAUAUUAUACACACAUUUAUGUGAAUAACCUGAAACUCCUCCUCACAAAAAAGAAAAAGAAAAAAAAAAACAAUCAUUACAAAAUGCCUUUGUGUGUUUGUAAUAAUCCACGUGUUCAUGAAUGACGGUGUCCCUCUGAUGUGAAAAUCUUCCUGUGUGUGUGUGAUUAUGUGCUGCGUGAAACUGGACUCAAAGAGAGCGCGCAUAAUGGGAUUAGACCACUCUAUUCAGAUGAUGGUGUCAGGCUUUGUUCGUUGGUCCUGCAGAUGCUCGCCGUGUGUAUCUGUGAAACAGUGGGGACUUUCAUUUUGAUGAUUUUCAUGACUUCCUCUGGCAUACAAAUCCCCAUUGAGCCAUUUUCCCAGGCUUUUACAUGUCAUGGUGUCUCUCCUUUUUGUCCUUUUCUUCUUACAGAAUUAUGUAGGAUAUAAGGUUAACCUACAGGGAUUGGUAUAUUCUGUAGAGGCCAUGUUUCCUAUGUUUCAGCUUCUACAAAUGCUUUCAUGCCCAAACCACUGGCUAUGCACCCACUCCAUCCCUUUAUGUGUCAAAACUUGUUUCCACAGUCGUGCUAAUAGGCAGAAUCAGUCAACACAAAGUCCUGUUAAACACAACAUAGAUGAGAUUAAAGACCUCAUAAAAAUGAGCACUAUUCACAAUAACAGCUAUUCUUGUAAAGAUAGGAUAGUACAGAGACACAACAUAGAAACGAUGAAUAAAAAUUGAACAUUAGAUAUGUAACAGUCAUAUCACAGCAGCAGCAGUCACAGUUGUAAGAGCAGUUUCUGCAGACGGCAGAUAAGAUUAUUAGAUCAGCCACUAAAGAUUUAGAUCUCUUACAUGAGAAAACUGUGUUAUUACCAUCCUGUUGGAGAUUUUUAGGAGCCAGUAAUCACUUGAGCACCUCCAAAUUGGAGAUUGACAUUGUUUGUCAUCAUAAAAGUAAAUGUGGUGCCAUUACCUGCAAUUAAUGUCACAAACUUUCAAGGGAACUGCUCUUUAAGCUGGCAGGUACAAAUGAAGAAAAUUACUAACUCAAGCUCAAAUUGUCAACAUGCUCACAAUUACCGUGUUAACUGUCUGUGAGGCGGGCGUGCUGAUAGGACUGUCAUUUGUGUUCAGGUUUUUUAAACCGUAGAAUUUGACAAAUUGAAAUUUUGACCUGAAUAUUGGUGCUGCAUAAAUCAAGCAUCAAAUCAAAAAACACCCACUGGGGACCAUGAUGCCUGUACAAAACAUGAAGAUGAGCUCAGUGUUUGUCGAGAUAUGUCUGUUUUUAGUCUGCUGACUUAUCCAACUGACUUUUUAACCAUGUGGAAUUCAUAGGAGUUCACUCGUCAGGCUGCAGGAUGGACAUCAGUAUUUACUAUUCUUUUGGUGUGUUUGGUAAAAAUUCAAAAAGACUUUUACUCUCACAGGAUGAUUGAUAAGUGGGGCAGAAAUAGAUGGAUCAGAGAGUAAGAACAGACUUACUGGAGCAUUGAAGUGACUUGAACAGACAGAGACAUCAAAUUGAAAUAUUAGGAGUUUAUCAAAUGGAAGGGGAGCUGACAGACCACAUACUGUUGAGA